UUCGAGCCUUUACUGGGCUUGGUUUAUUCCUUUUUGGGGGCUCCCUACUUUUUCUCUCCCCUUUCCUUUCCAAGUAUUCCUCGAAGGCCUUUUUGACCUUCACUUGAUCCUCGUGCACCUCUUGGGGUGAGAGGGGUGUGAAGAUAUGUGUGAGGUCGUCUUUCCGCAAAGAAUAGCAGUUGGCCCAACCAUAGUGUUGGACUCAUCUAUUAAAUUGUCAAGGCCGGGCAAACAUCACAAGGUUGGCGUGCAUAGGAACAACAUUACAAUAUAUCUCAUCUUUGUAUUUACUGAUGGAGAAGGGUACUAUGACCUGCUGGGUUACCUUUAUUUCGCCGCUCCCAUUCAACCACUACAACCAGUAGGGGUUGGGAUGGGCAGUGCAGGAUAGUCCCAAUCUUUCCACAAACAGAGUGUUUGUCGCAUUGGUGCAGUUUCCUCCAUUAAUGAUCAUACUACAGACCUUACUGUUGACCAGGGACCUAGUGUGGAAUAUAUUCUCUCA
rnacentral:lncRNA from 1 species